rnacentral:rRNA from 1 species
AGAGCGAGCGCUGGCGGCAGGCCUAACACAUGCAAGUCGAGCGCCCGUAGCAAUACGGGAGCGGCAGACGGGAUAGUAACACGUGGGAACGCGCCCUUCGGUUCGGAAUAACUCAGGGAAACUUGAGCUAAUACCGGAUACGCCCUUACGGGGAAAGAUUUAUUGCCGAAGGAACGGCCCGCGUCCGAUUAGCUAGUUGGUGAGGUAAUGGCUCACCAAGGCGACGAUCGGUAGCUGGUCUGAGAGGAUGACCAGCAUCACUGGGACUGAGACACGGCCCAGACUCCUACGGGAGGCAGCAGUGGGGAAUAUUGGACAAUGGGCGCAAGCCUGAUCCAGCCAUGCCGCGUGGAUGAUGAAGGCCUUAGGUUGUAAAGUCCUUUUAACGGGGAAGAUAAUGACGGUACCGUAGAAUAAGCCCGGCUAACUUCGUGCCAGCAGCCGC